CGCGGACCUGAGAGGGGGCCGGGGGACCCGGGGGUCUGCGCGCAGCGGCAGCGGCAACUUUUCCGCGCUGGACUCGCGGGCGGAGUGGGGACGCGCCUGGAGGGGUCCCCAACUCUUGGCAACGAGGGCGGCGCGGCGGGGAGUUGGGGGAAAGCCGGGAAGGGGCUUCUGGGGUGGUAGCGACAGAGUCCUGGGGCGCUACCUGCGGAUGAGGGAAGGGCGGCCUGGCUCUGAACCAUCCCCUCAGGCCCGCCCCAGGAGACCUAUUGGGACUUGCUGGGAAGCGCAAAGAGAGAGGGUCCCUGCCUGCCUUGGAGUUUGGCUAGCUAUGCACAGGGGUCCCACUGGGCCCCUAUCUGGCUUUGGGCUAGAAGCACGGGGAAGGGACUCCCGGAGUUCUCUGGAUGAGAGGGAAGUGGUGUCACUUGCAAGUUCUUGACAAGUUGGGGUGAGUGGAGGGAGACGGUUUCCUGUGGGUGGGGGCGAUCUGGUGGGCCCUGGUGCAGCUGGGGUUCAGGGUGUCUCUGCCUCCUGGAUGCGCCUGGCUCCCUCUAGGAGCAGCUCAUGCAAUGUUGGUAGGAAGGGGCCAGGUUUGGGGGUCUCCUGGAGGGCUGACUCUCUAGCCCUGUCAGCUCUGGGGACCCCAUGCCCUUGCACUACAGGAGGUGGGUAAAAUGACCUGGCUGAACCCCAGCUUCUCUGUGCCUGCCCCAGAGAGACUUCUGGUUCCAGCUUUGCUUGGAUGUCCCAAGCCCCAUCCCUGACCUUCCUGCCCAGCUCGGUUGGGGCCCAGGCCCAGGGCCUCCUGAAUGCCUGGGAGGUGCCCUUGGCUGGCUGUCUCCUGUCCCCUUCCCAGCCCCCACCAGCUGCCCGCCGGUGACAGGGUGGUCUCAUGUCCUUGGCAGUCUUGUCUGGGCCAGCCCAAGCUGGAAGGCAGUGCCCAACAGGUGCCUGGCUCAGAGGCGAGGUGAUGUGGGACACGCCCUGUCCGCUCGCCCACAUGCCCUGCUGGGCCAGCAUGGGCACAUGUGUUCCUGCACGGCCGUCCUGGGAAGGCACGGGCCCUGGGUCUGAUGCCAGCUUGUCCUGCGCUUGCAGGGUUCCCUCUGGGAGCUCCCUCAAGACCCCAGCUAGUAGCAGAUCUUGCCCACGGUCCUGGAGGGGCCCUAAAAUAUCUGCUGGCUGGGCCCCGGGCUGGCACGCAGAGUCCAUGCGUGACAGGGCGUGUCCAGGGGUCGGGCCUGUCUGUGCUGGCCCAGCCUCUGUGUCUCCAAUUCCUGCUUGCAGGGGAGAGAGCAAAGAUGGAUGUUCAGGGGUUCUCCCACGGACCCCACAAACAUGCCACACCCUGCCUGAUCGCAAGUGGGGCCCAGAUGUUCAGAUAUUGUGUGUGGGCUGCAGCUUUGGGGCAGGUGCUGUGUAUAUGCAUUCCUGGGGUGACAGUGCCAGUGCAAACCCUGGGGUAACCUGACUGCUCCCGAGGUCCAUGUGGGGCUUAUCCAUCUUCAGGAGCUUUUUGAAAUCUGCCCUGCACCUUGGGUGGGGCUCUGUCCACAGUGAAUGAUGCUGCUGGGAACCUUGGGUGGUCUUAGAAAACCUUCCUCCAACGCUUUUUUCAGGACUUUGUUAUUUUUAUUUUAUUUUUUGGAGGUGGAGGUGAGACAGGUUUCACAUGUAGCCCAUGCUGGCCUAGAACUCAACUGUAUAGCCCAGGCUGGUCUUGAACUCAUGGCGAUUCUCCUGCCUCAGUCUCCAGAGUUGCUGAGAUUACAGGUGCGUGCCACCACACCUGGCUCCACUUUGGGUAUUCCUUAGGCCAGGUACAGGCUGGUUGUGUGUGAGACUCACUGUGGGACCUCACUCCGGCUGGGGAUCGCCCUGUCCUCUGCCUUAUGCAUCUAGAACUGGGGAGAGUUCCCAUGUGAGAGGAGAGCAGCGUGCCCUGCGCUUCUCCCGCCCAGGCCCUGGACUCCAGACUUUUUGGGGCGCUCUGGUCCCUUUCUCCCCUGCUGUCUGGGGUCCUGGGCCGCUCACCUGGAGACGUAUGCAAGGGUUUCGGGUGUGGGCGUGUGGGAAUUCUUGGGUAGAGCAGGAUGCGCCAUGCUGGGCACAGCUGAGUCAUACUCCAGUGGCGCCUUGCCCCAGGGUGCUGGGGCUGGCGCCACCCUGGGUGUGGUCACUGUGCUGUGGCCCGCGGCUGGGUGGUCUGGGAUGUGGCAGGGUGGUGAGGGGCAGCAAAGCAGCUUCUGAGAUGCUAAUUCUUGCCAUCCACAACUAUGGGCAGAUAACCUCCAUAAUGCCGUGGGGAGUCCAGGGACAUCGAGCCACGCGUUUGGGGAAUUUUGGGGUGUCAUGAAAAGAGGACAGAGCCCAUUAGAAAGCAGAUACAGCUGGACAUGGUGGUGCUCACCUGUCAUCCCAGCACUCUGGGAGGCUGAGGCAGGAGGAUCACAAGUUUGAGCUCAGCCUGGGCAACUUAGCGAGACCUUGCCUCAAAAUAAAAAAUAAAGGCCUGGGGAUGGAGCACAAUGUGAAGGCCCCUGGUUCAAACCCUAGUCUCUAAAAAAAAAAAAAAAAGAAGAAGCCAUUUACUCUCUUCUAGGCUUGUAGCCCCCAAACUCCAGGCUAGGGUUUAGAAAUAGACUUCAGUGGCAGGUAGAGGUGGGUACACAAUGGUGGGGUGUACCCCUCAGGGAAGGGCUUCCUGGGUGGAUAUGGGGGUGCCCCUCCAGGCUCUGUGAUUGGCCAGGCCAUGCCUUUGAUCUCCCUAUUUAUAACAGAUGAUUCAGUGUGCUCUUACCCAUCCUGAGCCUGCCCCCAGGGCCAGCCCUGGGUGGGCCAUGGGACUCCCACUUGCAAGGGUGCCAACCCUCGGGACUGCCCAACCUCGUGGGGACAGACCUUAUUGUUCCUGCCGGGGUAACUGGGGUGGAGGGUAGGGGGACUGGCGGUCAGGCGGCGCUGGGCUGGGAAGCCCCGGUUGGCGGCUGGCUCGGGGCCCGGCCCACCGAGCUUCUGUUAAGAGUCUGGCCCAUUAGGCAAAGCGCUAGUGACAGGCUGGGCGGCGGCGGGCAGGGCGGGGCCAGCAGUCCUUGGUAUUUUCCGAUCCCAGCUGCUCUGUGAGGGUGGAAAGUAUUUGGGGAUCAGGCUUGGAGGCGGCAGCGGCGGUGGAGUCCCGGCGGAAGCCGUCCCUGAUGCAUUCCUGGGGCACGGGGCCCUGUGUGUGUCUGGUGCGUAGCCUCUGUCUGCGUUCUGGUGCACACUGGUGUCCCCAUCCAGCCUGGAGACCACUCCGAGGCCCGGCACAGGGCCCCUGUCCUCCAUCCCUGCAGAUGCCAUGAGCUUGGCUCUCUUGGGACCCGAGGGGGAGCCCGGGAUUGGUAAAGGGGGCCCAGUGCUGGGGCACCUGUGUGGCUGUGGGCUCUCCACGCGGGACCAGACCUUUUGUGCCUGUGGGGAUGGGGAGUGGCCUUGGCCCAGCUCUGGGCUCUGUGCAGGGGAAACCCCACAGGAAACAGGCCUGGCCAAAUGGCCGCCCUUCCCGUUCUCGUCCCGGGACACGAAUAUGCUGUCUCACUUCCGGAGGCGGCUCGGGGAGGUUGGCUGCCCUGCGGGGCCAGGCUGCUCCCAGUUGGCACCCCCAGACCCUGAGGGGACAGGACCAGGGACCCCUGGGGAAGAUGGGCCUGCGUGCAUGUUUGUGGGGUGGAUGGAGCACAGGACAUCUCUCGCUGCCCGCUUCCCUUGGGGCUGGCCCCAGAUCUGGACAUGAAGGUCCUGCCUGUGUGGGAUCCUUGUUUCCAUCUUCUGGCCUCUUUGUGCUGGGUGGCAGUGAAAGUAUCGCACUGUCCUGACGACACACGUUACUCAUAGGAUCCUCACUGCCAGCCACUUUCCAUGUAGAUAACUGGUAUCUAUUUGGUAACUGUUUUUCAGGGGCACUGAGGCUCAGAGAGUUUGAGUGACUUGCCCAGAGCUGCCCAGCUAGGAACCUGGGGGUGGGUUUCAAAUUUGGCUGACUGACUCUUAAGUUUGGCUCUUCUAGCCACGGAUCAUGGCGAGUGCGGCCCUGGCAGACUUGUCCUUGGAAAGACCUGAUCGUGGUUUAAUGUUUUGCUCCAAAUGUUGUGAAGUCCUCUUUUUACUUUUUGGUGGUGGUGGUGCUGAGGAUGGAACCCAGGGCCUCGAACAUGCUAAGCACGUGCUUUAGUGCUGGGCUGCACCCCAGCCCUGUGAAAUUCUUUAUUUAUAGCCAGGAGUGGUGGCACACACCUAUGAUCCUAGUACUCGGGAGGCUGAGGCAGGAGGAUCACUGCAGAGUUCAAGGCCAGCCUGGGAAACUUUGUGAGUUCAAAGCCUGGACUACACAGCGAGACCCUGUUUCACAAAAGAAAAAUGAAAAAGAAACUCUUAAUUUUGCUCAUCUUUGUUCUGUACUGGGCCUCACAAAUUUAGUGGCCCCCAUACCUAGCUGACUGAGUGAGUGACAGACAUCAUGGUGAAAGCUCACUGGGUUACUCAGUAGCAGCUUUUGGCUCUGUUUCACAGAUGGGGAAACUGAGGCUUCUAGGGCAUCUGGGAAACUGCAUUUGGGACUUGAACUCUGGUCUGGUGUUUGGGUGCCAGCCUCUGGCCCCGCCCAGUGCCUCCCACCCUUUGCCAUGGCCGGCUGGGGUUCCUGGGGAUGGGAUUUGCUGUCUCACAAAUCACAUUGCCAGGGAUUUCCAACCGACCCUGAGCUCUGCCUCCGGGCCCACCACUGCCACUGAGGAUGCCUGUCCAUGCCUGGGGACGGGGUGUCGGAGAGGCCCUGCCACCGCCACCACCACUGCUGUAGCCGUCGCCAGGCCUGAGGAGCAGGGCUUAGCUGCUUGUGAGCAGAGUCCGCACCAAGUCGUGUUCACAGUGGCUAAGUUCCGUCCCCUGGGCCCCGCCUCCACCGCCCCACCUUUCUGCUGGUUGCCCAGUUCCCCGGGCUCUGCCUCCCGUGCCUACUGAGCUGAAACACAGUUGAUUUGUGCAGACUGGCUCAGUUCAGCAGGAACAGGGGUCAAGCCCCCUGGAGCCUGGAGCGCACAGCCUGGCUGUCCUGACACGGCGACCAGACAGGCGCAGAUGUGUCUGAAGGAGGGGACACGGGAGGACGGGGUGAGAGGGCUGGCCUGGGUCUAGGCAUCUGCUGCAGGCCACCUCUCUUUUUUGUUUUUUGAUACCAUGGAUGGAACUCGGGUCCUUGCACUUUCGCAGCAGGCAGUGAAACCACUGAGCUAAAUCCCCAGCCCAAGGCCACCUCUCUUGGUCUGCACAGAGGGACCCUGUUGUCCCAACAUGGCCAUACCUCGAACAGGCUGAGCCGUUGUCCCAGGGUAGACAGGACAGAGGGUCCUUCCUUAAGCCAGCUGUGCUUCUCUGGGCCUAGCACCUCAGCUCCUCCCUGUUUUGAUUCGUGAGAUUGAGUCUCCCUGUGUAAUCCAGGCUGGCUUUGAAUUAUGUAGCCAGGCAGUCCUCCUGCCUCAGCUUCCUGAGUGCUGGGAUGACAUGUGUGUGUCACCAUGCCUGGCCCUGCCCCUCCUGUCCUAAGCCUAGCGGGGAGUGCUGAACCUUCCCAGCUGCCUGUUACCCAAGAGGAAGCUGCCUUAGGCCCCCUGACCGUUAAGUGCCAACUCACAGCUUCUGGAACUAGCUGGCCCGACUUGGCCGAGUGAGUGUGCCUGGGCCCCUCUCCCUGGCCCUGAGGGUUCUUAAUGACACCCACUCCACGUGGGGUAGGGAACAGUUCCAUGCGGCCCCAAGAGGGACAUGAUCAGGCCUCCCCUGUCCUGGGGUUGAGGUCAUCCUGUCCUGCUCUCCUUGGUGGUCCUGGGCUUGGAAGAGGUGAAUUGUGCCACUGUCCCCAAGUCAGAUGGGAGGAAGCUCUUUGGGCCUGGAGGGAGGGUCCAGUGAAAUGCCCAGACUGUCAGGGCUGGCCUGGUGUUGCCCAGGUAGGGGCAGACAGGAGCUUGGGUGGAGGGAGGGCAGCAUUUGUAUUGUGCCCCGCAUGUGAUGCCCAGUGAAAUAAAAGUUGUCCCAGCUUCACUCCUGAGGCUCUGAUGGUC